UACGUAGGGUGCAAGCGUUAAUCGGAAUUACUGGGCGUAAAGCGUGCGCAGGCGGUGAUGUAAGUCAGAUGUGAAAUCCCCGGGCUCAACCUGGGAACUGCAUUUGUGACUGCAUCGCUGGAGUGCGGCAGAGGGGGAUGGAAUUCCGCGUGUAGCAGUGAAAUGCGUAGAGAUGCGGAGGAACACCGAUGGCGAAGGCAGCCCCCUGGGCUAACACUGACGCUCAGGCACGAAAGCGUGGGGAGCAAACAGG
rnacentral:rRNA from 1 species